CCUACGGGAGGCAGCAGUAGGGAAUCUUCCACAAUGGGCGAAAGCCUGAUGGAGCAACGCCGCGUGGGUGAAGAAGGUCUUCGGAUCGUAAAACCCUGUUGUUAGAGAAGAAAGUGCGUGCGAGUAACUGUUCACGUUUCGACGGUAUCUAACCAGAAAGCCACGGCUAACUACGUGCCAGCAGCCGCGGUAAUACGUAGGUGGCAAGCGUUAUCCGGAUUUAUUGGGCGUAAAGGGAACGCAGGCGGUCUUUUAAGUCUGAUGUGAAAGCCUUCGGCUUAACCGGAGUAGUGCAUUGGAAACUGGGAGACUUGAGUGCAGAAGAGGAGAGUGGAACUCCAUGUGUAGCGGUGAAAUGCGUAGAUAUAUGGAAGAACACCAGUGGCGAAGGCGGCUCUCUGGGCUGUAACUGACGCUGAGGUUCGAAAGCGUGGGUAGCAAACAGGAUUAGAUACCCGGGUAGUC
rnacentral:rRNA from 1 species